AAUUUUGCACAAUGGGCGAAAGCCUGAUGCAGCAACGCCGCGUGAGUGAUGAAGGCCUUCGGUACGUAAAGCCCUUUGUUCAGGGAUGAUAAUGACGGUAUCUGAAAAACAAGCCACGGCUAAAUACGUGCCAUCAGCCGCGGUAAUACGUAGGUGGCGAGCGUUGUCCGGAAUUACUGGGCGUACAGGAUGGGUAGGUGGAUACUUAAGUGGGAUGUGAAAUCCCCGGGCUCAACCCAGGAACUGCAUUCCAAACUGGGUAUCUAGAGUGCAGGAGAGGAAAGCGGAACUCCUAGUGUAGCGGUGAAAUGCGUAGAUAUUAGGAGGAACACCAGUGGCGAAGGCGGCUUUCUGGACUGUAACUGACACUGAGGCAUGAAAGCGUGGGUAGCAAACAGG
rnacentral:rRNA from 1 species